UGGAGGCGUCGCGACUGGCGAACGUGGAAGCGACCACGGGGAAGCGGCAUGGCGGAGCACGACUCCGUGACCUCUCCGCGGUGCCGUCCGCCUGGGCCCCGGGU
rnacentral:ncRNA from 2 species